UCCUACGGGAGGCAGCAGUAGGGAAUAUUGGACAAUGGGUGCGAGCCUGAUCCAGCCAUGCCGCGUGCAGGAAGACGGCCUUCUGGGUUGUAAACUGCUUUUGCCAGGGGAUAAAACGUUCCUGCGGGGAUAAUUGAAGGUACCUGGUGAAUAAGCCACGGCUAACUACGUGCCAGCAGCCGCGGUAAUA
rnacentral:rRNA from 1 species